ACAUUCUUGUAUAAGAACUGUACUAAACUUGCAGAAAUUAGGACAGUAUAUUGGUUUUUGUAAUAAUGCUAGCAGAAUACACACAAGAAUAAAAAAAGUAACUGCACUGGAUCCUCUUUCUUCAUGUCUAGUGUCCUUUGUUAUCUUAUAGAUCA
ensembl:snoRNA